rnacentral:rRNA from 1 species
UGGAUUGGUGCCUUCCGGGAACUCUGACACAGGUGCUGCAUGGCUGUCGUCAGCUCGUGUCGUGAGAUGUUGGGUUAAGUCCCGCAACGAGCGCAACCCUUGCCUUUAGUUGCCAGCAGUUCGGCUGGGCACUCUAAAGGGACUGCCGGUGUUAAACCGGAGGAAGGUGGGGAUGACGUCAAGUCCUCAUGGCCUUUAUGACCAGGGCUACACACGUACUACAAUGGCCGAUACAAAGGGCAGCGACACUGCGAGGUGAAGCCAAUCCCGUAAAAUCGGUCUCAGUCCGGAUUGGAGUCUGCAACUCGACUCCAUGAAGUUGGAAUCGCUAGUAAUCGUGGAUCAGCAUGCCACGGUGAAUACGUUCCCGGGCCUU